rnacentral:rRNA from 1 species
UACGGUAGGGACCAAGCGUUGUCCGGAAUUAUUGGGCGUAAAGGGCGCGUAGGCGGUUGGAUAAGUCUUGUGUGAAAUCUUCGGGCUCAACUCGAAGUCUGCACGAGAAACUAUCUGGCUUGAGUGUGGGAGAGGUGAGUGGAAUUCCUGGUGUAGCGGUGAAAUGCGUAGAUAUCAGGAGGAACACCUGUGGCGAAAGCGGCUCACUGGACCACAACUGACGCUGAGGCGCGAAAGCUAGGGGAGCAAACAGG